rnacentral:misc_RNA from 1 species
GAAGCUCUUGAAAAUGUUGGUCUUUCAGCCACUGUAAAUGCAGUAAACAGUGUAUAUUAUAUAAUCAUUGUUUUAUUUUCUGAUAAUUAUCACUCACUUUAGGUUAGGAGUUACUUCCUUUAUGUUUUAAGUACUGACUUCAACAAUUUCACUGCUCAUCAUGUGGUCAAGACCAGAGGAGCUUACCUUGUAAGGGUAUAACUGGUACCACCAUAUCAUGGCUUUUGGAAAUCAUGUUCUUGAACAUGCCCCAUGAAACAGGCUAGUAGAGACCGUCUCCUAUACCUCAUUGCUGAAGUUGCAGGAGAUCAACAACAGAAGACUCGGUUUAUGAAAACCAGAGUUGAGCAAUCAGUUGCAGCAAAUAAACGUUUAACAGUGAUAAUUCAUGGAUGAAAGAUCAUUGAAAAUGAGAUGGAACAGAGGAUGAAAUAAAAUGAGAUUGGUCAUGAGGCGAAUCAUGUUUUGCAGAUAUUAGAAGAGUAGAAACAGUAUCCAACUAGAGAAUACAAAUCCGUUAGUCCACCAAACCCAUAAUAAUAGUAUUAUAGCAGGGAACUUAAACUGUUCCCAUACAGAAAAAAAUGUACAUAUUGUUACACAGUCUGCAUCUAAUAUUGAUUUUCUUUAAAAUUCUUAUCAGAAUCGCAUGGCCUAAAAGAAAAUCCUGUUACUGAUUAUGAAUAAACGAAAUUAGGUCAUGUUUUGUUUCCACUGGAUCACAAAUUUAAUAUUUUCAUAUAGAAUCCUAGAAACUGCACAAACAAGAAAAUUAAAAAUUAAAAAUUAAAA